CAGCAGUGGGGAAUUUUGGACAAUGGGCGCAAGCCUGAUCCAGCUAUUCCGCGUGUGGGAUGAAGGCCCUCGGGUUGUAAACCACUUUUGUAGAGAACGAAAAGACACCUUCGAAUAAAGGGUGUUGCUGACGGUACUCUAAGAAUAAGCACCGGCUAACUACGUGCC
rnacentral:rRNA from 1 species